rnacentral:rRNA from 1 species
UACGAAGGGGGGCUAGCGUUGUUCGGAAUUACUGGGCGUAAAGAGCGCGUAGGCGGUAUAUCAAGUUGGAAGUGAAAUCCCAGGGCUUAACCCUGGAAAUGCUUUCAAAACUGGUAUACUAGAGAGCGAUAGAGGAUGGUGGAAUUCCUAGUGUAGAGGUGAAAUUCUUAGAUAUUAGGAGGAACACCGGUGGCGAAGGCGGCCAUCUGGGGUCGUUUUCUGACGCUAAUGCGCGAAAGCGUGGGGAGCAAACAGG